UCUGCACAGCCAGCGCUCAGAAGUACCCAUGGGGGUCCCCGCGCUCACCGGUACCAGGCGAGGCCCUUGUGGUAGCUGCGGUCAAAAAAGUGGGGCUCAGCACCCACGGCACGCACGUCGGGGUGCACGCGCAGGAACUCCAGCAGCGCCCGCGUGCCGCCCUUCUUCACGCCGAUGAUGAUGGCCUGCGGCAGCUGCUUGCUGCCCUCGUCCAGAAGUAAGGCCAGGGUCCCCGGCUGGGCCUCGGCCACGCUGCUUCCCGCCCCGGAGCCUCCUGGUGCGGCGGCCAGCCCAGGGCUCUGCUCCUCCUGGUCGCUGCUGUCUCCUGGCCCCGACCGCCCGCGCCUCCUCCGUUGCCUCAGCUGCAGGAGGCGCUUCCUUGGCGCUCCCGCGGGCCACAUCGCCAGUUCCCUGGGUCCUGCAGGGACGCCGCGCCCCGGGACCCCCGCGACGGGGCCCGAGCCGGGUGGGCAGCGCUCCGCCAGGCAGUAGAAGACGUAGAGGGAAGUGAGUAGCGAGCAGAGCAUCAGCAAGAACUUCCUGAAGAUGCUGCGCGACAGUGGCUCCGCCGGGCUGGGCUGGGCGCCGGUGGGACCCGAGGGGGCCAUCCUAGCCAGAGGCGACCUCGGACGGCGAGCGGGCCAUGCUAGGCCACGACUGUGCUGGGAGCUCCGCCAUCCCCGCUGCCAGCCAGCGUGCUGCCCCGCGGCCGCAUCGCCUGAGCCGCCCUGCGUGCCUGAGAGCUGCCCCGCUGGGCGGCAGCAGGGGCUGGAACUAGGGACCAAGCACUGCGAGCCCUUCUUGGGGUCCUGGGCUUCGGGCGACGAGGAGGAAAGGGGUGCGGGGCCGUGCUUAAGAAACCAUGGUCUUGGGUCUGAAACGCGCCCGAGUCCUGAGCCUAGCUGCGCAGAGCUCCGCGCCCUGGGUCUCCGAGAGUCGCCCGGCAAGGGAGUCUCUGCGGCGGCAGUGGCGAAGGUGCUCGGCUCAGCAGGGUCCUGAGCGGUGCGGAACUUGGCUCAGCGAUAACACAUCCUUGGCUCAGUCCCCCGUGGAGCGGGCGCAGGACUCUCGGGCCGAAGAAUUGUGUACGCUCCGGUUAGAACGAGUGACCCUUUUUCCAGCUUCUGCUCUCCUGGCCCGCCCAGGAGCGUGCCCUGAGUCCUGGCUCAGCUCGUCUCAGCAACCGAGCAAGCAAAGUCCCCCUAGUCCCUCUAUCCGAAUGGGACUCAAGCCUUCUGGCCUCUUGAGCGCUCCGGAAGUCUACCCACUCCUCUGGGGCCCCAGCUGGGAACAGCUUGGAGGGGCCCCGCUGUGCGGGACCUGUCAGCCACCGCUGCCACUGUGCUCUUGGGCUCUCCCCGCAGCCUCCUCAGCCGCUACCGCCACACGUGGGACGCGAAGGACAGCAAACUUGGUGGUGACGUCAACGGCCCAGGCCAGACCAACGCGGGGAUCCGCUCUAGGGUGCAGAGCAGAGGCGCAGGGGCCGGGCUAGAGAGGCAGAAGGGGUGGGACCGGGACAAAAAAAAAAAAAAAAGGUGACGAGGCACCGCCCAAUACACUGGAGAGGGCGCGGACGACAGAGGAGACGCCCCUUCCUCGCACUCCCUCUCUCCUUUCCUCCUUCCUCCUCCUCCACCCCUAGGUCUCUGGGCGCUGUCAGAUUGACAGCGCCUGUAUGAUUGCCUGAGUCUAACGCCCAGCCAGUCCACCCCUUGCCGGAUUGGGGGUUCUCAGACCUCUCCAGCUCAGCUUAGUCCUUAGCAGCCUUAACACCCCCAGAUCCCCACUUCCUGAUUCCCUCUGGUCCCAGCUUCUGUAUUCCUACCCUUCUCCAGCCCACCCAUCCCAUCCCCUCUCAUCCCAGAGACUUCUGAAGUUUUGUUCCCAAGAGUUCUUGGCAGGCCACGCCCCCAUUUGUCUGGGCAAAGAGACAGCUUCAGUACAGACUUGCCUUCUACUUCCCUGUCCACUGAGGGCCCUUACAAGUCUGUCUGUUAGUUUGCUUGCUUGCUUGUUUUUCCUUUGGAUUUAUUUAAAAAGAUGAAGAGUCUCAUAGGACCUGGAAAGGAACCCCUUAGAAACUAGAUCAAUAAAUACACCAAAACAGAAAUUAUAUUUAAAAAAUAAUAAGUACAAUUCCAAAUCCGUAUAACCAGUUGUUGAUAAAGUUUAAUACUUUGCAUAUGUGCACCACCCACAUGCGUGAAUGUGUUUUCACUCUUUGAGAGUUAAGAGUCCUUCCCUAAACAACGGGUUCCUUUUUCUCUUAUUUCCCCUGACCCCUAGAUACCCUUCCCAUGCCCCCAAAGCAAGUCACAAAGAGGUAAAAUCUGCCCCUUGCUGGCUCCUGGGGAGGUGAGUAGUAAAAUCUUCAGGAGAUGUUGAAGGUUUGAUUGCUUUCUUUGGCUGUUACUCUGUGGUGGUUUUGUUUUCAAUUUUUCAUUUAUUUGUAUUUUAUGUGUAUGGCUGUUUUGCCUGCAUGUGUGUCUGUGCACCACGUGGGUACCUGGUGCCAGCUGGAGAGUUCUAAAUCUCUUUGAACUGGAGUUCCUGACAGUUGUUAGCCUAGAUGUGGGUGCUGGGAAUUGUACCAGGUCCUCUAGAAGAGCAGCCAGGGCUCUUACUGCCGAGCCAUCUCUUCCACCACCAGAUAUUUCAUUUUUGUCCUAAUCGUAUUGCUUCCUUAUUUCUGUCUCCUGCAAGAUACCUGGCAAUGUGGGCUGUGCCCUGGUCACUGUAGCCCAAUCCUGUGCGCUGUAGACAUCUUCCUAGCUCCCUAACCCCUCCCCUCCCUGUGCUAAUAAGAGUCCAGCAGUCAAGAGAGCUAGGUCUCAGGAAACUCACUUAGGAAUCCUGGCUGCCUAGCUUUGACACUCAGAUUUUCUCUCCUCUUCCUGCUCAUUCCCCAUUUGACCAAGGAAGUGUAAGUUAGGGGGUUGCCUUUCAGCUUCCACAGGGGCCCUACUGAUUCUAAGUUUGCUUGGAUAGAACUGGAUCACAUGUGGCCUGUUGGGUAAGAAUAGUGCCGUGUUCAUAAACUACCAGUCACAACUGAUUCCCAGACCAAUGAAGAUCUGUUUAGAAGCAGAGACCAGAAAGCACUGGUCUUUGCCCAGGAUGAGCAACAUGCCUUGCCAAGUUUCCAUGUCCUAUUAUGUCUGAAAAUUGGAUAUUGACAAACCACUUUGAAGCUUAAGGUUUAAUGUGUUUUGAAACUUUCCUCUGUGUAUUUCAGUCUGGUUUGUAGAAGGAAGACAACAAAAACAGAGACCAUUUAAAAGUUGCUCUGAAAGUGUGUCGUUGUGCAGAUGGUCACCAGAAUAUAUGUUUUCUCAUCUGGAAAGCACUGAGCUCCCAGUUCAACUGUAGUUCAUCAUAAGGUGAUAUUGUAUAUAGUAUAUACAUCGUGCAUAGGAAUGAUGUGGCCCCAAGCCCCCAGACUUUUCCUAGCAUGCAGAAACAUAAGCUGAAUAAAUGGCUAUUAUGCAUAUUGACCUCUGUGGCACUCUGUGAAGAGCAGAAACCAUAUUGGAACAC